UACGGAGGGUGCAAGCGUUAUCCGGAUUCACUGGGUUUAAAGGGUGCGUAGGCGGGUAGGUAAGUCAGUGGUGAAAUCUCGGAGCUUAACUCCGAAACUGCCAUUGAUACUAUUUAUCUUGAAUAUUGUGGAGGUUUGCGGAAUAUGUCAUGUAGCGGUGAAAUGCUUAGAUAUGACAUAGAACACCUAUUGCGAAGGCAGCAGGCUACACAUAUAUUGACGCUGAGGCACGAAAGCGUGGGGAGCAAACAGG
rnacentral:rRNA from 1 species